AACGAACGCUGGCGGCAUGCCUAACACAUGCAAGUCGAACGAGACCUUCGGGUCUAGUGGCGCACGGGUGCGUAACGCGUGGGAACCUGCCCUUAGGUUCGGAAUAACUCCCCGAAAGGGGUGCUAAUACCGGAUAAUGUCUUCGGACCAAAGAUUUAUCGCCUUUGGAUGGGCCCGCGUUGGAUUAGCUAGUUGGUAGGGUAAAAGCCUACCAAGGCGACGAUCCAUCGCUGGUCUGAGGGGAUGAUCAGCCACACUGGGACUGAGACACGGCCCAGACUCCUACGGGAGGCAGCAGUAGGGAAUAUUGGACAAUGGGCGAAAGCCUGAUACAGCAAUGCCGCGUGAGUGAUGAAGGCCUUAGGGUUGUAAAGCUCUUUUACCCGGGAUGAUAAUGACAGUACCGGGAGAAUAAGCUCCGGCUAACUCCGUG
rnacentral:rRNA from 1 species